rnacentral:rRNA from 1 species
AACGAACGCUGGCGGCAGGCUUAACACAUGCAAGUCGAGCGCCCCGCAAGGGGAGCGGCAGACGGGUGAGUAACGCGUGGGAAUCUACCCAUCUCUACGGAAUAACGCAUGGAAACGUGUGCUAAUACCGUAUACGUCCUUCGGGAGAAAGAUUUAUCGGAGAUGGAUGAGCCCGCGUUGGAUUAGCUAGUUGGUGGGGUAAAGGCCUACCAAGGCGACGAUCCAUAGCUGGUCUGAGAGGACGAUCAGCCACACUGGGACCGAGACACGGCCCAGACUCCUACGGGAGGCAGCAGUGGGGAAUAUUGGACGAUGGGCGCAAGCCUGAUCCAGCCAUGCCGCGUGAGUGAUGAAGGCCCUAGGGUUGUAAAGCUCUUUCACCGGUGAAGAUAAUGACGGUAACCGGAGAAGAAGCCCCGGCUAACUUCGUGCCAGCCGCCGCCGUAAUAC